rnacentral:lncRNA from 15 species
AUUUUUUAUUUUUAUUUUAACACACAUGCUUACUAUUUUAUUUAUUUAUUUUAUUUUCAUAUAUAUUUUCUAACACACACACGCUUACUAUUUUAUUUAUUUAUUUUAAUUUUUAAUAUAUUAUUUUCAUUUUCUUUUCUUCUUCUUUGUUAUUACUAUUAUAUUGACAACAGACUACUUGUUUUAACUAUAGCCUGUUACUGUACUACUGUUUUAAUUACAUUUUUAGUUGACACAAACUGAUUGAUUGAUUGAUUGAUUCAUUCUUUCAUUCAUUGUAAUUAAUUACUUAUUGACUGAGAUUGAUUGAUUGUGACUGUGAUUGUGAUUGAGUCAAUCAUAGUUACAGUAUUACCAACAGAAUAGAUUAUAAUUGAUUUAUUGUAAAUAUUGUUUUCCUUUAUUGUUAUUAUUUUUAAUUCCAAAUGCUUGCUUUGGCAACAGUGUUACGUCAUGCCAAUGAAGCCAUUUGAAUUGACAGACUACUGACUGUGAGACAGACUACUGACACUGAGACAGACUACGGACACUGAGACAGACUACUCACACUGAGACAGAGUUCUGACAGUGAGACAGACUACUGACAGUGAGACAGACUACUGACGGAGAGACAGAGUACUGACGGAGAGACAGACUCCUGACACUGAGACAGAGUUCUGACAGUGAGACAGACUACGGACACUGAGACAGACUACUCACGCUGAGACAGAGUUCUGACAGUGAGACAGACUACUGACAGUGAGACAGACUACUGACGGAGAGACAGACUCCUGACACUGAGACAGAGUUCUGACACUGAGACAGACUACGGACACUGAGACAGACUACUGACACUGAGACAGACACAGAGAAGGUAACACACUGGAAGUACUACCAUUUGUAGUUUUUGUUUGUAGUUAGUGUAGUUCCACCUGUCAGUUCACUAACUGUAGUGCGGUUGCUAUGGUUACUACAGACUCCUAUUUUGAUUGUCUCUAACAGGAGCUGGACGAUGUGAUGAGGCUAUUUGAGGUUCUAAAGCAGAAUAAAACAAGUCAGGAGGUACAUGGUGAAGCUGGAGAACGACUUAAGAAGAUGAUGGAGGAGGUAGAGACGAUGAAGAGACAGAUGGAGGACAAACUCAGACAGAUACAAGAUGUGGAGGAGAAGAUCCAUCAGCUGAUCAGGAGUAAAGAGGAGAAAGCAGCUGAAGUGUCCUUGUUGUUGGAGACGGUGGAUUCACUGCGAAAAGAAAUCUCAAAACGAGCUGAAGAAUCCAUCAGCUGUACUACAUAAAUACAACCCAGUACUACAUACUGAAACACAGAUCCCCAUAAAGAGUACUGAGUACUCUUGUGACCUGUUUGGGGGUCUGGACCUUAAUGUCGUUGUUUUUAUUGUCAGAAGGGUUAGUGUUAGGGUUAAUCUUCACUCAAUAUAAUUAUUUUAAAUGACUUCCUGUCUAAAUCUGAACAUUCAAAUUUGUAUGUUUUCUCUUAUUUGUUAAAUGUUUUGUUUGCUUCAUAUAUUCCAUUAUUAAAAUGUGGUGUUUUAUUGAUUGUGUGAAAAAUGUUUCAUUAAAGGGUUAUUGUUCAGGAAUAGGGUUAUUAGUUAGGAUAAGGAUGAGGGAUGAGGAAUAUGGUUACUGAGUAAGGAUGAGGGGAUUAGGUUUUUAAAGUUUAGAGACGAUUAAAAUCUCCAAAAUCUGUUGAAUCAGAUUGUGUCCACCAGUUUAUUGUUGAUUCCCUUUGAAACAUGUUUCUGACUCACUGACAGUAUGUACACCAAUUAGUCAUAACUUUAUGAGCAUUGAAAGUAGGGAGUAAAGGCUGGCCUGUGUGGUCCGAUCCAACAGACGAGCUACUGUAGCUCAAACUCCUGAAACAUUUAAUGCUGGUUCUGAGAGAAAGGGGUCAGAACACACAGUGCAGAGCAGUCUGUUGGUCUGGGGCUGCAGAACAUUAUGACUACCAGGGCGCCCAGGUGGUAAAUGAUGGUCCCUAUAGAGUAAAAUAGACCGUAAAGCAGGGUUUUGCUUUAGGCGGGGCUACCUUGUGAUUGACAGCUCAUUCUCAGUGAGUCCGUCUAGCUCAACGCACCAAGCUAGGCAGUGAUGAUUAGAUAUGGAUCCAGAUUCUGUUGUUGACUAUUUCUCUCCUCAAAUCUGUUCACAAACACAUCUGGAAUACCAGAUCCUGUGUGACCAGGCGAGCCGCCAUUGUUUCCAAACCAAGAGCAGCCAAUGAGAGCAGCUCAACUCACUUUUCAUGACCUCCGCUGGGUGUUUAGCAGCUGCCAGUUCGGGAGGCAGACACUCUCUCCACAUUCAAGAGUAGGCUUAAGACAUUCCUCUUUGAUAAAGCUUAUAGUUAGGGCUGGAUCAGGUGAGUCCUGAACCAUCCCUUAAUUAUGCUGCUAUAGGCCUAGACUAUCGGGGGAUUUCCCAUGAUGCACUGAGCUCCUCUCUUCCUCUCUCUUUCUGCACUCAUUCAUGUUCCUUUAAUGCAUGUUACUGACUUCACUUCUUCCCCUGAGUUCUUGUGCUUUCUUGUCUCGCAGGUUCUCGUGGAUCCUGGUGGAGCCUCCUGCCAUGGUCCCGCUUGACUGCCAUUGCUAAUAUCACUGAUAUUAUUGUUAUUAUUAUUAUUACUAUUAUUAUUACUACAGAUACUAUAAUUACUAUAAUCAGUGCUCAUUGUCUCCCAUCGUUGUUGUCGUCGUCGUUGUCAUCAUCUUCUUCAUGUUCAUCAUCAUUAGUCACUACUAUUAGUGUAGUUGUUGCUACUGUUGUUGCUGUGCACCUCUGUCUCUGUCUCUGUCCUUCUGUCGUUACCUCUGUUCUCUCGCUCUGUCUCUCUCUCUCUCUCUCUCUCACUCCAACUGUUCGAGGCAGACGACCACCGAACAAGAGUUGGGAUCUGUCCUAGGUUUCUGCCUCUUAAAAGGAAGUUUUUCAUUUCCCCCGUCGCCAAGUGCUUGCUCAUGGUGGUACUGUUGGGUCUCUGUAAAUAAUGUUAUAAGGAGUUCGGUCUAGACCUGCUCUAUUUGAAAAGUGUCCUGAGAUAACUUCUGUUAUGAAUUGCCGCUAUACAAAUAAGAUUGAAUUGAAUUUAAGUAAACACCAACAUGGAGACGACCAUAAAGCCCAACUGGAGAACUGGACAACCAACUGCUCUCAGUGGAUUUGUAUAUUUCCAGAGAUUAUUGAUUGAAUCAACUACAUAUAGGACAUAGCUCUAGAGUUUAUCCACUGUUUAAUGGUUAUAGAUUAUUGAUCGAAUCAACUACAUAUAGAACAUAGAUCUAGAGAUUAUACACUGUUUAAUGAGUAAAUAUUACACAGAUCUAACUUUCAAUAAAUAAAACAUAUGUCAAGUUAAAGAGAAAAUACUGUGGUUGUACUACUUUCAGCUAGGCUUUUUAACAGGAUCAGAGUUUUGACUACAAACUGCUUCAUUUGUGUGUGUGUGUGUGUGUUAAUUUUUGUCCUCACACAGACGAGCUGAUCUCUGAUUGGCUGGCAACUCGGCUCUGCAGGCCUCCACACGUUCACAGUCAUUACCCACAAUGCAGCGGGGGACUCAGUCCUGAAUAAGUCUUCAGAUCUUCAGGUGGGGGGUCGGGAACACACAGACACCUCCUCCUUUGUUGUUCCAGGUGAG